AUGGAUAAGAAGAAUCCCACACCUGAAAUAUCGGAUACGAUUUAUUUAAAAUGCGAUGAAACAGAAUGUACACUCUCACUGGGGGUAUCCAUCGGUGCAGCAACUGUGAUCUUCCUGCUGGUCUUGACGAUCCUUAUUCUGUCCAUUUGCCUUUGCCGUGUCUGCAGAAAACUAAAGAAGAGAAAACUGACAGAGGGUAUGGAUAAAGAGGAUGUGGAGGAAGCGGAUUUGCAUUAUGCUGAGCUGCAGAACCUCCCUGUCUCCAGCAGGGAGCAGUGUAAUGGUGGCACGUGCACAGCAGCCCUAGCGGUGGCACCCAACAAUGACUAUGCCACUGUGGCAGAGCUGAAGGGACCCCAGGAAGAGGGCAUCGAUCAGGAGCCAAACCAGGACAACGGUGGGGAUGAUGGGGUGGAGGAGAACCAGCCGUGUGUGGAAAUGGAGUGAGAUUUCAUUGCACUGGAUUGGAGGAAGCGGCAGAGGGACGAGAACUACCUUUUGAUGCAGAUGGAGUAUCUCCGGCGUUAAAAUUCUGCCCCCAGAGGAGAAUUCUGCAACCAGACUGCCGUGCAAUAGGCAGGUUGUGUAUGUUUGUAGGCAUCUUUCUCCUGCCAUCUAGCAAUAAGAGCUGUGUGAAUUUGUGUUUUUGCUUAUCUCCAGGCAGCAUAAGCAAAAGAGCUGCCAUCUUUUCUACGUGUUCAGUUACAGCACCUGUUACGCCCAGCUAUUGUCCAUGUUGCCAGAAGGGGUGAUAGGAAUUCAGCACUAGCACAGUUGAAUAAUACAUGUCGGGCAUUGUCACUAAAACAGUAGACCUAAGAAAAGUUGCUAUUUCAGAUUGCAAAUCCCAGAAUCCCCAAACCAGCCUGGCUCAGGGCCUUGCUGGCUGGAACAUUCCUGGACAUUUAGUAAAUGAGAAUUAAAUGUUUUGCGCACUGCAAAAUGCAGACACUUUUUGAGACUGGUUGCUUUCCAGUUUUCCGGGCCAAAACAAAACAGAAAUAAAAAAAUAAAGGAGAC
rnacentral:lncRNA from 1 species